AUUGAACGCUGGCGGCAUGCCUUACACAUGCAAGUCGAACGGCAGCGGGCCUUCGGGUGCCGGCGAGUGGCGAACGGGUGAGUAAUGCAUCGGAACGUGCCAUUGAGUGGGGGAUAACGUAGCGAAAGUUGCGCUAAUACCGCAUAUUCUGUGAGCAGGAAAGCAGGGGACCGCAAGGCCUUGCGCUCUUUGAGCGGCCGAUGUCAGAUUAGCUAGUUGGUGAGGUAAAGGCUUACCAAGGCGACGAUCUGUAGCGGGUCUGAGAGGAUGAUCCGCCACACUGGAACUGAGACACGGUCCAGACUCCUACGGGAGGCAGCAGUGGGGAAUUUUGGACAAUGGGGGCAACCCUGAUCCAGCCAUGCCGCGUGAGUGAAGAAGGCCUUCGGGUUGUAAAGCUCUUUCGGCCGGGAAGAAAUCGCAUGGGUGAAUACCCUGUGUGGAUGACGGUACCGGAACAAGAAGCACCGGCUAACUACGUG
rnacentral:rRNA from 2 species